AGGUUCGACUAGGUAUACAGCUAUGGUCAUAUGUAAGAGAAGAAGCCUCUCAUGGAAGGAAAGCUCCAAUUGAUCCUUUCACUCGUGAAAGUUGCAAGCCAUCUGCAUCUCAAGGUGUUCCACUUGGAGGCAUGGGAAGUGGCAGCAUAUCUAGAGGUUUUAGAGGUGAAUUCAGGAAAUUUCAAAUUGUUCCUGGUUUAUGUGAAGGUUCUUCGGUCAUGGCCAAUCAAUUUUCUGCCAGGAAACUCUUACUCCAUGCACGUAUCAUUUAAUUUUACUGUUACCAUUUUUGCCAAAUUAAUUAUAAUUACAUUUACAGAUCUCUCUAAUUAUUUUUCAUUUUUAAACUUAAUAUAUAUAUAUACAUAGCAAGAAAAUGGAAUUGAGGAAUAUAGUGUAUAUGGGCAAUGGUUGUGAUGGAUGAUGGUUGCCAUAUACAUGGGUGGCCGAAUCCCUGAGAUAUCAACUUUACUUUCAUUACAUAUAGAAUGGUCAAUAUUGAAGUGAGCUAUCCCAUUUGAUGUUUCCAGAUUGGCAAUGAUCUUCUCAAUAUGUGGGGCCUCUUAUCUUAAAUAAACUUCUACAGGUUGGUUGGUUCUACUUUCUUUAAAUCAAUAAUUUGCAAGAGAUGUGUCCUAAAUGCUUCAGGUUUUUCAUUUUAUUUUUAGU